GUGGUACUAUUGGUGGAGGUGGUGGUGGUGUUGAUAUUUAUUAUUUGGUGAUUGUGGUGGUGGUGGUGGUGGUGGUGGUGGUGAUGAUGGUGAUACUAUUGGUGGAGGUGGUGGUGGUGUUGAUAUUUAUUAUUUGGUGAUUGUGGUGGUGGUGGUGGUGGUGGUGGGUAGUGGUGGUAAUAUUUGUGGUGGUGUUAGUGGUGGUGAUGAUGGUACUAUUGGUAGUGGUGGUGGUGGUGUUGAUAUCUAUUAUUUGGUGAUUGUGGUGGUGGUGGGUUGUGGUGGUAAUAUUUGUGGUGGUGAUAGUGGUACUAUUGGUAGUGAUGGUGGUGGUGUUGAUAUUUAUUCUUUGGUGAUUGUGGUGGUGGUGGUGGUCUUGGGUAGUGGUGGUAAUAUUUGUGGUGGUGGUGGUGGUGGUGGUACUGUUGGUAGUAGUGGUGGUGGUGUUGAUAUUUAUUCUUUAGUGAUUGUGGUGGUGGUGGUGGUGGUGGUGAUGGAUAGUGGUGGUAAUAUUUGUGGUGGUGGUGGUGAUGGAGGUACUAUUGGUAGUGAUGGUGGUGGUGUUGAUAUUUAUUCUUUAGUGAUUGUGGUGGUGGUGGUGGUGGUGGUGAUGGAUAGUGGUGGUAAUAUUUGUGGUGGUGGUGAUGGAGGUACUAUUGGUAGUGAUGGUGGUGGUGUUGAUAUUUAUUCUUUAGUGAUUGUGGUAGUGAUGGUGGUGGUGUUGAUAUUUAUUCUUUGGUGGUUGUGGUGGUGGUGGUGGUGAUGGUGAUGUUGAAGGAAAAGAGAGUGGCAAAGACAGUAGUUGUAGCGAUAACAAUAGUGGUGGUGAUUGCAAAACAAUGCCGCGUCUCAGUGUACACCGUGAAUACUGAUGCUCUGAUGACGUGUCCUGUACAAGUCUUUACAGCUUCCCUGAGUCGCCUGCAGGAUGAGGCUCCUCUGUCGCCUCACUCCGAGCCCCCAAGAAACCCGCAGCUCGCCUGACGCACCUUCCUCUCUCCACCAUCACUAGAAACCCGCCACGGAGUAACAGUGUGGCUUUGGUGUUUUUUUUCAGCCAAUGAGCGCGUGAUGAGCAGGACAGAAUGCUGAAAUAGUGAGGUGACAGUGCCGCGCGACACUGGAAGAAACUGGAAGAGACAAGAUGCAGCUUCCCUGAGUCUCCGGCACUCCAGAGGCCCCGCUGCUGCCCACGCCAGGCCUGCAAGAACCCUGCUCCUUCCUUGACGCGCCUCCUCCCUCCACUAAUAGUAGUCUGCCAGGGAGUAACAGCGUGUGGCAUUACUAUCUUUUUGCAGCCAGUGAGCGCGUGAUAAGCAAGACAAAAUGCUGAAGCAGUGAUGACAGUACCGCGCGUAACUGAAGAUUGCGAAGUACUGAAAAAAGUGAAUAGUGGAAAAGAUUCAGAGACAUUGUUGUUUUUUUAAUAAGUGUUCGUGUAUUCGUGUGUUCUCGUGUGUGUGCGAUUCGUCACCACCACCACCACCACCACCUCUACCGCCGUCAGCACCGCCCCCACCACCAGCAUCACCGCCGCCAAGGAUAAGGUAAGCGUUGGCGUCUACUUGCUUCUUCCUCCGCCACUGUGCCACAUCAACAUCAUACGGUACAGUGUUGCCAAGUCUUCUUCCUCUUGAUAGUGGAGUUAUUAUUGUUAUCAUUGUAUAUUAGAAAGGAAAACGCGGAAAUUCAGAUAAAGAAAAAAAAUAACGUACAAAUAAAGUCGUAUGAAGAGAGACGGAAAUUACACACACACACACACACACACACACACACACACACACACACACACACACACACACACACACACACACACACACACACACACACACACACACACACACACACACACACACACACGAAAAGUAAUAAGAAUACACACACACAGACAGACUCAUAAACAAACGCAGAUUACAAGCAAAAGACGGAAAUUAUUAUAUGAACACACACAGACAUAUAAAGUUUAAUCAGAACACACACACACACACACACACACACACACACACACACACACACACACACACACACACACACACACACACACACACACACACACACACACACACGUACAAACAAACGCAAAUAACGAGCAAAAGCGAGGCUAGGAAAGACGGGGAAUGGGAGGGAGCGGAGCGGGACUGGCGCGCGAGAUGGAGACAAAUUAAAAGUGAUAAUGUAUUCAAAUUGUUAGUUGUGAGUUUUAAGCCAGAUUUGCGCGGACUCUUCGGCACUUUUACCGGGCGGGGAAUGACCGACGAGCGGGGAAUGAGCGGGGAAAUGAACGCACGCGGCGGCAAGACUGACGGUGCAGGAAUGAUCUUUUGUUGGGAAUGCGAGAGGAUGUGGAGCUUAGAUUAGCGCUCACACACACACACACACACACACACACACACACACACACACACACACACACACACACACACACACACACACACACACACACACACACACACACACACAAGGGGAUGAAUUAAAUAAAGGAAUGCUGCAGCUAGCUGGUCGUGUAUGCAAAAUGAUGUUGAAAGUUGCUCAGUAUAUUCCCGAAUGAAGUAAUCCGCUCAAAAUUCAACGUGGGAGAAAAAAAAAAAAAAAAAAAGAG